AUGGCGUCGUUGUCGUCGACGACCAACACGUCGGAAGGCGGCGGGAAGCCAGCGUCCUUGUGCCCGAGAGGCCACUGGCGGCCGGGGGAGGACGAGAAGCUGCGCCAGCUCGUGGAGAAGUACGGCCCCCAGAACUGGAACUCCAUAGCCGAGAAGCUCGAGGGCAGAUCAGGCAAGAGCUGCCGUCUCCGGUGGUUCAACCAGCUUGACCCGCGGAUCAACAAGCGGCCGUUUACGGAGGAAGAGGAGGAGCGUCUGCUAGCGGCGCACCGAGUCCACGGCAACAAGUGGGCUCUCAUCGCCCGCCAUUUUCCUGGCCGCACUGACAACGCCGUCAAGAAUCACUGGCACGUCGUCAGGGCCCGCCGCAGCCGUGAGCGCUGCAGGCUCCUCGCCAAGGCCGCCUCGUCCACCUUCCCGUCCUACUACAGCGGCGGCGCCCAGCUCGACUUCGCCGGCGCGUCGGCCGGCUCCUUCUGCUUUGGCUUCUCCAAGCCUAGUGGUGGCGGUUUCUUCGGCUCACCGCCGGCUGCGGCGGCAGUGGCGCCUUCUUCUACUCCAGUACUGUUCAAUGGCUACGGCGCUUCAGGAAACCAGAGCUUGCUGUCAAGGUACAGUAGCUACCUGGACGGCGGCAAGCAACCGGCGGCGCCGUCUUCUCACUCCAUCGCCUUCUCCUCCCCACCUUCAAGAGAAGCACUAGCGUUGGAUGGCCGUGGCGGCCCUGACCAUCAGCACAGGAAGGAUUACCAUGUCGACGGCGAUGAACCACUGAAAACGAAGGAUGCGCCACCGUUCAUCGACUUCCUCGGCGUCGGCGUGUCCUCGUGA
rnacentral:rRNA from 1 species